UACAGAGGUCCCGAGCGUUGUUCGGAUUCACUGGGCGUAAAGGGUGCGUAGGUGGUGAGAUAAGUCGGAUGUGAAAGCUCGGAGCUCAACUCCGAAAUGGCAUUGGAAACUAUCUCGCUCGAGGGUUGGAGGGGGGACUGGAAUUCCUGGUGUAGCGGUGAAAUGCGCAGAUAUCAGGAGGAACACCGGUGGCGAAGGCGGUGGUCUGGGCCGGCACUGACGCUGAGGAGCGAAAGCGUGGGUAGCAAACAGG
rnacentral:rRNA from 1 species